CAGUGGUUCAGGCCAUGACUCAACAGGUCCCAUACCACCUGCUACGAGAUAUGCCCUUGGUGGUGAAGACAGUAGUUUUCACCUAUGUGUAGUGAUCAUGAAGUAAUACAGAAGGGAAGUAAAUCUGCACAAUUUCAAUUACAAGUGAACUUAAUUAUUUGUUUGGGAAGAACAUAGAGCAUCUGCCAAUGCUAGUAUUUAGAGUAGUGCAUACAUUAAAAAAACAAGACUGGACUGCUGAAGCCAAAUUCCAAAGCUUUAAAGCACUUUGAGAAGAGCAGACUUCCCAGUGUAUAGAGGAAAUAAAUUUGCUCUAAAUUAUACAUCACCUACAAAAACUUAUCCCGAACAAUAAUUUCAAAUAUUUAUGUGAACUUAGGUUGUGUGUUACUGGUGGUCUUUUGAACUGCUUGUCUUAAGCAGGAGUAAUAGCAAUAAACUGUCACUUCACAGACAUCUUUGCAGAGAGCUUUUCAGGUUUCUGGUUUUCUGGGUUUUCUGGGCUUUCUGAACCUAACAUCAGUUUUAGACCAUUUGUGGGUAGCUAUGAAGUCCUUGCGGUGUGUGGCUGACCAAGAAGAGGCUGACAGGUUAGCAUUUCCAAGGCAAGAGCAGUUUUGCUGUCUUUGGUUGCAUUCUCAAAUGGUUUAAUACAGAUACAAACUAUAAGAUCGUGUCAGUUUUUUUAGCUAAAUAUUCCACUGGGUCCAAAGAAGGUCAUUAGGAUCAGACUGGAGGAGUUGGGGGCCAAAUCAGAGAGAUGGGAGGAAUAUUAUUAGCAAUAUUCAGAUCUUAUUUUUAGUUUUAAACAGGAGUUACCCAGACCUCAGAACAUUUUAGCAGAUAUUGAAACAGACAUCACAGAAAUGUAUCAGUCCAAUUCUUUCAUCAGAGGAAGAUGAAGAACUUUUAUUCAAAAAGAAUUAUUUUAGUCUCUAAAACUUCUCUGCAAAUUUUUGCUCUUAAGUUCUUGUUUUGUAUGGUUAGUCUGCUGGUAAUGUGUAUGCAUUUCUGAUAGGCAGUACUGACGAGUUGUUUUACAGAAAGGUUUACACAAAACCUUUAUGCUGGUUUUGUUUCCUCCUACAGCUCUAUAAAAUUAUGAACAACAUGUCUGUUGAUCUUGUAUUGUCUGUGAGAGACUUUUGAAACGUGAGUUGUGCAUAAUACUUUAUGGAAACCUGAGGAACAGAUAUGGCCUUAGAUAAGGGACUGAUGUGGCUUAUUCUUGUCUCCCAUGAGCUCCCCAAGCAUGUAACCAAGUGGCCAUUUGGCCAUUCUGUUUGGAGUAGUUCCUGGCUGUUUAAAGUCAAGGCUGGCAGUUGCCCUUUGGAAGUAUUUCCUUUUGUUUGUAACUUGAAAUAUUUCAUGGAACAUUGUUCAGAUGUAGCCUACUUAACAACGGGUAUGGAAUGCUCUGUGCUUAGUGCACAAGGUAUGCCUUUGAUUCUUUCGUGUGAUAUGAUGUGAUGCAAACUAGAAACAGGUGGGACAUGGAAGAAAAAAACUGUAUAAAUGGAUGUUUAGAGUGGUCUUUUUCUGGGUGCUUUAUUUCUGAGUUGAAAAUUUCUGUAGGCAUUAGAUGUCAUCUGUUUUGCUUGGCUUUAAUAUGUCAUGUGUUAACUGUAUGACUGACUUGUUUAAUGUUUGUUAAUAUUGUACCUGAGGGAACUUGUAAUAAUUACUAGCAUUACUGCAGAGACUUUUCCAUUGUUGGACUGCAGAAUAAAAUUUGGAACUACUUGCUC
ensembl:lncRNA